UACGUAGGGUGCAAGCGUUGUCCGGAAUUAUUGGGCGUAAAGAGCUCGUAGGCGGUCUGUUGCGUCGGCUGUGAAAACCCGGGGCUCAACCCCGGGCCUGCAGCCGAUACGGGCAGACUAGAGUUCGGCAGGGGAGACUGGAAUUCCUGGUGUAGCGGUGAAAUGCGCAGAUAUCAGGAGGAACACCGGUGGCGAAGGCGGGUCUCUGGGCAGCAACUGACGCUGAGGAGCGAAAGCGUGGGGAGCGAACAGG
rnacentral:rRNA from 1 species